CCUGCGGGAUGCUGCAGUGGGGAAUAUUGGACAAUGGGCGAAAGCCUGAUCCAGCCAUGCCGCGUGUGUGAAGAAGGCCUUCGGGUUGUAAAGCACUUUCAGUGGGGAAGAAAGCCUUGGGGCUAAUACCCUCGAGGAAGGACAUCACCCACAGAAGAAGCACCGGCUAACUCCGUGCCAGCAGCCGCGGUAAUACGGAGGGUGCGAGCGUUAAUCGGAAUUACUGUGCGUAAAGCGCGCGUAGGCGGUCUGAUAAGCCGGUUGUGAAAGCCCCGGGCUCAACCUGGGAACGGCAUCCGGAACUGUCAGGCUAGAGUGCAGGAGAGGAAGGUAGAAUUCCCGGUGUAGCGGUGAAAUGCGUAGAGAUCGGGAGGAAUACCAGUGGCGAAGGCGGCCUUCUGGACUGACACUGACGCUGAGGUGCGAAAGCGUGGGUAGCAAACAGGAUUAGAUACCCUGGUAGUC
rnacentral:rRNA from 1 species